rnacentral:rRNA from 1 species
UGGGGGAUAUUGCACAAUGGGCGAAAGCCUGAUGCAGCGACGCCGCGUGGGGGAUGAAGGCUUUCGGGUUGUAAACCUCUUUCGCUAUCGAACAAGGCCCGCUUAGGGUGGGUCGAGUGUAGGUGGAGAAGAAGCGCCGGCUAACUACGUGCCAGCAGCCGCGGUAAUACGUAGGGCGCGAGCGUUGUCCGGAAUUAUUGGGCGUAAAGGGCUUGUAGGCGGCUUGUUGCGCCUGCUGUGAAAACGCGGGGCUUAACUUCGCGCGUGCAGUGGGUACGGGUAGGCUUGAGUGUGGUAGGGGUGACUGGAAUUCCAGGUGUAGCGGUGGAAUGCGCAGAUAUCUGGAGGGACAGCGAUGGCGAAGGCAGGUCACUGGGCCAUUACUGACGCUGAGGAGCGAAAGCAUGGGUAGCGAACAGG